UACGUAGGGUGCAAGCGUUGUCCGGAAUUAUUGGGCGUAAAGAGCUCGUAGGCGGUUUGUUGCGUCGGCUGUGAAAUCCCGAGGCUCAACCUCGGGUCUGCAGUCGAUACGAGCAAACUAGAGUGUUGCAGGGGAGACUGGAAUUCCUGGUGUAGCGGUGAAAUGCGCAGAUAUCAGGAGGAACACCGGUGGCGAAGGCGGGUCUCUGGGCAACAACUGACGCUGAGGUGCGAAAGCGUGGGGAGCAAACAGG
rnacentral:rRNA from 1 species